CGCUUAUUUUAGUAAGUAGUUCGCUUCCUGAUGCUUUAAUUAGUUUUUGGAUUUCGAUCUAAAUGAGAACACGUGUGAUGGUAUUUGGAAAUAACUGUCUUGUAACAUUGAAAAAAUUGGGGUCAAACGUUUUGCCAAAGGAAAAACGCUGUUGCUGUGGAAACUUCAAAAAUAUAAUUGAAUGCACAAGUUUUAGCUACAAUUUAAUGUACAUUAAAAUCAAUGGCAGUUUUAUAUAACUAUGUGACCUAUAUAUACACAUAUAUAUACGUGUUGCAUAGUAGAACUCUUAUUUCUGUCAAAUAAAUGGUGCGUUCAAUGACUAUCGCCAUGUGGUUGACUUGUAUGAUAUAUGAGCCAUGUGGUCUAGAAACAUUGCAACACGUGCUUUUUUAAGGAUUGUAUUAUCUACAGCUGGAUGAUGAAAAUGUCUAGUUCAGUAUGGGAUAAUACGUGUUGGAAAAGAUCAACAUUUGGAGACUAACUAAAACUACACAGGAGUAUGGAAUUCAACUUGAGGGUUUUUAUAGGAUGAUGAAAGUCUGGUGAAAAGACCAUUCCUCAUGGUUAUAUAUUCGAUGUUUAAAAAUCAGCGAGAGAAUUAAAAAUCUCCAAGAGAAACUACCAUAUGGAUCAAAUGCUAGCUUCUGGCGUAGUUUAUACUACUAAAAAAAUUGGAUUUGUUGGUGUAACCGGGAUAUUGGAGACCGAGACGAGCAUAUAUUAGUAUAUAAAUAAAUAAAAGUGUAUUGUAUUCAAUAAAAUAACAAAUAUAUGCUGCAAUUACUUUAACCCUAACCAAA